GGAAAUAAAAGACGUAACAAGGUUUCCGUAGGUGAACCUGCGGAAGGAUCAUUAAUGAGUUGUCAUGGGGUUCGAUGCUGGCAGCCAGUUUUUGGAUGCAUGUGCUUGCCCUAACAAUCAUCUUCUUCCAAACACCUGUGCACAUUUUUGAGGGAGUCUUGAGUUGGUUGCCGCUCUUGGGUGAUUUUCUCACAUUCCCUUAAAUCAUUAUACGCUAUUAACAAUGUUGAACGUGCUCUGUGCCGCAAGGCCAUUAAUAUAAUACAACUUUUAACAACGGAUCUCUUGGCUCUC
rnacentral:misc_RNA from 1 species